ACGGAAGGCAGCAGUGAGGAAUAUUGGUCAAUGGGCGGAAGCCUGAACCAGCCAAGUCGCGUGAAGGAUGAAGGUAUUAUGUAUUGUAAACUUCUUUAGACGCAGAGAAAUAAGGGGCUCGAGAGCUCUGAUGCUAGUAUGCGUAGAAUAAGGAUCGGCUAACUCCGUGCCAGCAGCCGCGGUAAUACGGAGGAUCCGAGCGUUAUCCGGAUUUAUUGGGUUUAAAGGGAGCGUAGGCGGAAGGUCAAGUCAGCUGUGAAAUGUAGUCGCUCAACGUCUGCACUGCAGUUGAAACUGGCCUCCUUGAGUGCGUAAGAGGCAGGCGGAAUUCGUCGUGUAGCGGUGAAAUGCUUAGAUAUGACGAAGAACUCCGAUUGCGAAGGCAGCUUGCUGGGCCGCAACUGACGCUGAAGCUCGAAGGUGCGGGUAUCGAACAGGAUUAGAUACCCUGGUA
rnacentral:rRNA from 1 species